rnacentral:rRNA from 1 species
UACGGAGGGGGCAAGCGUUAUCCGGAUUCACUGGGUUUAAAGGGUGCGUAGGUGGGCAGGAAAGUCAGUGGUGAAAUCUCCGGGCUUAACCCGGAAACUGCCGUUGAUACUAUUUGUCUUGAAUAUUGUGGAGGUAAGCGGAAUAUGUCAUGUAGCGGUGAAAUGCUUAGAUAUGACAUAGAACACCAAUUGCGAAGGCAGCUUACUACACAAUGAUUGACGCUGAGGCACGAAAGCGUGGGGAUCAAACAGG